rnacentral:rRNA from 1 species
AGUGAACGCUGGCGGUAGGCCUAACACAUGCAAGUCGAACGGCAGCACAGUAAGAGCUUGCUCUUACGGGUGGCGAGUGGCGGACGGGUGAGGAAUACAUCGGAAUCUACUUUUUCGUGGGGGAUAACGUAGGGAAACUUACUCUAAUACCGCAUACGACCUACGGUUGAAAGCAGGGGAUCUUCGGACCUUGCGCGAUUGAAUGAGCCGAUGUCGGAUUAGCUAGUUGGCGGGGUAAAGGCCCACCAAGGCGACGAUCCGUAGCUGGUCUGAGAGGAUGAUCAGCCACACUGGAACUGAGACACGGUCCAGACUCCUACGGGAGGCAGCAGUGGGGAAUAUUGGACAAUGGGCGCAAGCCUGAUCCAGCCAUACCGCGUGGGUGAAGAAGGCCUUCGGGUUGUAAAGCCCUUUUGUUGGGAAAGAAAAGCAGCAGGUUAAUACCCCGCUGUUCUGACGGUACCCAAAGAAUAAGCACCGGCUAACUUCGUG